GUACUACCCUGGGUUCCGGGCAGGGGUGGAACUGGAUUCUGCCUGGAUGGGGAUCGGAUGGGGGUGGAGGGCUCUUGGCAUCGUGUUUUCAGGGGCUGCCUCAGAUUGUGCAAAGAAGUGAAGUGGAAAAUUUCAAACUUUUAUUCUACCCAUUCUGUCAUCUACCGUGUAGGCCGGCUACAAACCUCCCCAACAUCCCUGCUGCUAACCCCCUCCAACCAACACUGCAAGUGUCAAACGCAAGUACCAGCUCAACACAGUCUUGAGUCUCACCCUGGGCUUUCCCUGUUUUGUUGCGUAGAUUUUGUUGCUGAUACUGGUUUUUUAUUUACUGUUUCCAUUCUGUAAUUUUCCAGGUUUGAUUUGGGAAGCAGAGCACAGCAGCCCAAAUUUGUUGUAAUGGCGGCGGCUACAGGUAAGGCACUAAAUUGUAAAUAAUUUAAGCUGAGUUUACAUUUUUACAGUGUUGUG
rnacentral:lncRNA from 1 species